UUGUAAUGCUCUGACUCUUGUUGUGUUUGUGCCCUGGAUAUCUGCCUGUAACCCUGCCUGCCUUCACUUUGGAUCUGUGUUUCCCCAUGCCUUCAUUUGGAUUUGUUGUUGGACUCAGCCACUGUCUAGUGUUCCUGAUCACGGUGUUGAGGAAUUUGAAGGAGUCUGUCAGGGUUAUGGGACGCUCAAAGAUAUGAAGGGGGGGCCUUGGUGUUUGUCCUCAUCCCUAAAGUCUACAGCAAAUUUCAUUGCAAGUCAUCCAUUUUGAAUUGAAUAAGUAACUGACAUCCAGGGAUGUACUGGAACUGAAUUCAGUCAGCCACAGUCAGCCUGGACUUUGAGACGGAGAGGCCUUUUAUGCGAACGCCGUGUGGAGAUCUAUCAUUCAGUAAGGCUGUGUUAAGCGGUGCUGAUGCAACACUGCAACACCUGACAACACACCAAUAGGGAGAAGGAGAGCCCACAAGAGAGCCAGGGAGACCAGGUGACUAGACCCUUCCUCUCCAAGCCCUGAAGAGUCCUGCUGCACCUUUCCCAGCUCUCUGAGGAGGAGCUUUUCCUUUUAAGCCUUGCUCCAUCACUGCAGCGAUUGCCACCCCGACAGAAGGAAAUUGUAAAAUUAUAAAUACAUAAGCUUAUUUUUGAGGCCAGGCCAGAUCUGGAACAAACACAUUAGACUGUCAGGAAGAUAAAUAUUUGUAUAUAAACACUUUGUAAAUAUGUUUUAAAAACUGUGUGCAUGUCAUUUGCUGUGAAUUUAUUUCUGAAUGUAUAUAAAAAUAAAAACAGCGGCUAGCAUAUCA